GAUGAACGCUAGCUACAGGCUUAACACAUGCAAGUCGAGGGGUAACGAGAGGAAAGCUUGCUUUCCUUGUCGACGACCGGCGCACGGGUGAGUAACGCGUAUCCAACCUGCCCCCAACUAGGGAAUAACCUUGCGAAAGUAAGACUAAUACCCUAUAAUUUCCUCAGAUGUCAUCUGACGAGGAAUAAAGAUUUAUCGGUUGCGGAUGGGGAUGCGUCUGAUUAGCUUGUUGGCGGGGUAACGGCCCACCAAGGCAACGUUCAGUAGGGGUUCUGAGAGGAAGGUCCCCCACAUUGGAACUGAGACACUGUCCAAACUCCUACGGGAGGCAGCAGUGAGGAAUAUUGGUCAAUGGGCGGAAGCCUGAACCAGCCAAGUAGCGUGCAGGAUGACGGCCCUAUGGGUUGUAAACUGCUUUUAUACAGGAAUAAAGUUAGCCACGUGUGGUUAUUUGUAGGUACUGUAUGAAUAAGGACCGGCUAAUUCCGUGCCAGCCGCCGCCGUAA
rnacentral:rRNA from 1 species